GCUAAACACCCAUAAAUCCUGCCUCUGCUCCUGGAGGGCUCUGAGAAGAGGCUGACCAACCUGCCCUGCCCAGGAGGAUCAGGACAAGCCGGAUCACAGGUCACUCUGCAGCAGGGAGGCUGCUGGGAUUUACUGUUCCUUGUCCUUGCUGGAGGUGAGGUGCAUGGAGAGCAUUCAAAAGCUGGUGGAGGGACGAAGGAGGAGGUGCCACAGCCACAUGAGGAUAAUGCAAGGAAUCUCAGCUUUGCACGCUGCCCUCAAGGCAAUGCUUGGGAGCAGGAUGAGGGCUGUGAUUACAGGGGAGACUUUCCAAAGGCAUAUAUGAAAUAAGAAGAG
rnacentral:lncRNA from 14 species